UACGUAGGGUGCAAGCGUUAAUCGGAAUUACUGGGCGUAAAGCGUGCGCAGGCGGUUUUGUAAGUCUGUCGUGAAAUCCCCGGGCUCAACCUGGGAAUUGCGAUGGAGACUGCAAGGCUAGAAUCUGGCAGAGGGGGGUAGAAUUCCACGUGUAGCAGUGAAAUGCGUAGAGAUGUGGAGGAACACCGAUGGCGAAGGCAGCCCCCUGGGUCAAGAUUGACGCUCAUGCACGAAAGCGUGGGGAGCAACGAGGAUUACGAAACCCGG
rnacentral:rRNA from 1 species